rnacentral:rRNA from 1 species
AUUGAACGCUGGCGGCAUGCCUUACACAUGCAAGUCGAACGGUAACGGGUCCUUCGGGAUGCCGACGAGUGGCGAACGGGUGAGUAAUAUAUCGGAGCGUGCCCAGUAGUGGGGGAUAACUGCUCGAAAGAGCAGCUAAUACCGCAUACGACCUGAGGGUGAAAGGGGGGGAUCGCAAGACCUCUCGCUAUUGGAGCGGCCGAUAUCAGAUUAGCUAGUUGGUGGGGUAAAGGCCUACCAAGGCAACGAUCUGUAGUUGGUCUGAGAGGACGAACAGCCACACUGGACUGAGACACGGCCCAGACUCCUACGGGAGGCAGCAGUGGGGAAUUUUGGACAAUGGGCGCAAGCCUGAUCCAGCAAUGCCGCGUGCAGGAAGAAGGCCUUCGGGUUGUAAACUGCUUUUGUCAGGGAAGAAAUCUUCUGGGCUAAUACCCCGGGAGGAUGACGGUACCUGAAGAAUAAGCACCGGCUAACUACGUGCCAGCAGCCGCAGUAA